rnacentral:rRNA from 1 species
AGGUAAGCUAUUAAGAGCGAAUGGUGGAUGCCUUGGCUGGUAAAGGCGAUGAAGGACGUACUAGACUGCGAUAAGCUACGGGGAGCUGUCAAGAAGCUUUGAUCCGUAGAUUUCCGAAUGGGGCAACCCAGUAUAUAGAGAUAUAUACUACCAUAAUGGAGCGAACGUAGGGAAUUGAAACAUCUUAGUACCUACAGGAAAAGAAAUCAAUAGAGAUUGCGUCAGUAGCGGCGAGCGAAAGCGCAAGAGGGCAAACCCAGUGCUUGCACUGGGGGUUGUAGGACUGCAAUGUGCAAUAGGUAAGGUUAGUAGAACACUCUGGAAAGUGUAGCCAUAGAGGGUGAUAGUCCCGUAUACGAAAACCAAACCUUAGCUAGCAGUAUCCUGAGUAGGGCGGGACACGAGGAAUCCUGUCUGAAGCUGGGUCGACCACGAUCCAACCCUAAAUACUACUACCAGACCGAUAGUGCACAAGUACCGUGAGGGAAAGGUGAAAAGAACUGAGGUGAUCAGAGUGAAAUAGAACCUGAAACCAUUUGCUUACAAUCAUUCAGAGCACUAUGUAGCAAUACAGUGUGAUGGACUGCCUUUUGCAUAAUGAGCCUGCGAGUUGUGGUGUCUGGCAAGGUUAAGCACACGCGAAGCCGUAGCGAAAGCGAGUCUGAAUAGGGCGCUUAAGUCAGAUGCUGCAGACCCGAAACGAAGUGAUCUAUCCAUGAGCAAGUUGAAGCUAGUGUAAGAACUAGUGGAGGACUGAACCGAUAGGCGUUGAAAAGCCCCCGGAUGACUUGUGGAUAGGGGUGAAAGGCCAAUCAAACUUCGUGAUAGCUGGUUCUCUCCGAAAUAUAUUUAGGUAUAGCGUUGUGUCGUAGUAUAAGGGGGUAGAGCACUGAAUGGGCUAGGGCAUACACCAAUGUACCAAACCCUAUCAAACUCCGAAUACCUUAUAUGUAAUCACAGCAGUCAGGCGGCGAGUGAUAAAAUCCGUCGUCAAGAGGGAAACAACCCAGACUACCAGCUAAGGUCCCUAAAUCUUACUUAAGUGGAAAACGAUGUGAAGUUACUUAAACAACCAGGAGGUUGGCUUAGAAGCAGCCAUCCUUUAAAGAAAGCGUAAUAGCUCACUGGUCUAGUGAUUUUGCGCGGAAAAUAUAACGGGGCUAAAGUAAGUACCGAAGCUGUAGACUUGAUUUUAUCAAGUGGUAGGAGAGCGUUCUAUUUGCGCCGAAGGUAUACCGGUAAGGAGUGCUGGAGCGAAUAGAAGUGAGCAUGCAGGCAUGAGUAGCGAUAAUUAAUGUGAGAAUCAUUAACGCCGUAAACCCAAGGUUUCCUACGCGAUGCUCGUCAUCGUAGGGUUAGUCGGGUCCUAAGUCGAGUCCGAAAGGGGUAGACGAUGGCAAAUUGGUUAAUAUUCCAAUACCAACAUUAGUGUGCGAUGGAAGGACGCUUAGGGCUAAGCAAGCUAGCGGAUGGAAGUGCUAGUCUAAGGUCGUAGGAGGUUAUAUAGGCAAAUCCGUAUAACAAUACUCCGAGAACUGAAAGGCUCUUCAAAGUCUUCGGACAGCGAGGAGAAUUGCUGAUGCCGUCGAGCCAAGAAAAGUUUCUAAGUUUAGCUAAUGUUGCCCGUACCGUAAACCGACACAGGUGGGUGGGAUGAGUAUUCUAAGGCGCGUGGAAGAACUCUCUUUAAGGAACUCUGCAAAAUAGCACCGUAU